GGAGGGGUACCGAAGCGGUCAUAACGGCGCCGACUCGAAAUCGGAUGGGGGACGCAAGUCUCCACGUGGGUUCGAAUCCCACCCCCUCCGCCA
rnacentral:tRNA from 1 species